rnacentral:rRNA from 1 species
UGCGGAAGGAUCAUUACUGAGUGCGGGCUCCGGGCCCAACCUCCCACCCGUGUCUCUUAGGUACUUUGUUGCUUUGGCGGGCCCAUCGGGUCACUCCGGUCGCCGGGGGGCGCUAUGCUCCCGGGCCCGUGCCCGCCAGAGCACCCCUGUGAACCCUGAUGAAGAGAGGCUGUCUGAGUCCCACGAUAAUCGUUAAAACUUUCAACAAUGGAUCUCUUGGUUCCGGCAUCGAUGAAGAACGCAGCGAAAUGCGAUAAGUAAUGUGAAUUGCAGAAUUCCGUGAAUCAUCGAAUCUUUGAACGCACAUUGCGCCCCCUGGCAUUCCGGGGGGCAUGCCUGUCCGAGCGUCAUUUCUGCCCUCAAGCGCGGCUUGUGUGUUGGGCGUGGUCCCCCUGGCUUUGGCGGGGACCUGCCUGAAAGGCAGCGGCGACGUCCCGCCUAGUCCUCGAGCGUAUGGGGCUCUGUCACGCGCUCGGGAGGGACUGGUGGGCGUUGGCGUUGGUCACCCCUUAUUCUUUCUAUGGUUGACCUCGGAUCNNNUAGGAGUUACCCGCUGAACUUAAGCAUAUCAAUAAGCGG